rnacentral:rRNA from 1 species
AGUGAACGCUGGCGGUAGGCCUAACACAUGCAAGUCGAACGGCAGCACAGUAAGAGCUUGCUCUUACGGGUGGCGAGUGGCGGACGGGUGAGGAAUACAUCGGAAUCUACUUUUUCGUGGGGGAUAACGUAGGGAAACUUACGCUACUACCGCAUACGACCUACGGGUGAAAGCAGGGGAUCUUCGGACCUUGCGCGAUUGAAUGAGCCGAUGUCGGAUUAGCUAGUUGGCGGGGUAAAGGCCCACCAAGGCGACGAUCCGUAGCUGGUCUGAGAGGAUGAUCAGCCACACUGGAACUGAGACACGGUCCAGACUCCUACGGGAGGCAGCAGUAGGGAAUAUUGGACAAUGGGCGCAAGCCUGAUCCAGCCAUACCGCGUGGGUGAAGAAGGCCUUCGGGUUGUAAAGCCCUUUUGUUGGGAAAGAAAAGCAGCAGGUUAAUACCCCGCUGUUCUGACGGUACCCAAAGAAUAAGCACCGGCUAACUUCGUG